rnacentral:misc_RNA from 1 species
UACGAAGGGCCCGAGCGUUGCGCGGAUUCAUUGGGCUUAAAGGGUGCGUAGGCGGACCUGCAAGUGCUUUGUGAAAGCCCAUGGCUCAACCAUGGAAUUGCUUGGCAGACUGCGGGUCUUGAGGUCGGCAGAGGUUGUCGGAACUCUAGGUGUAGCGGUGAAAUGCAUAGAUAUCUAGAGGAACGCCAAAGGUGAAAACAGACAACUGGGCCGAUUCUGACGCUGAGGCACGAAAGCGUGGGUAGCGAACGGG